GGGAUGACCAGGGAUGUUCUCUGUUUAGUGAGUCCUCCAGAUCAGAGGCAGUAGGGAUGACCAGGGAUGUUCUCUGUUUAGUGAGUCCUCCAGAUCAGAGGCAGUAGGGAUGACCAGGGAUGUUCUCUGUUUAGUGAGUCCUCCAGAUCAGAGGCAGUAGGGAUGACCAGGGAUGUUCUCUGUUUAGUGAGUCCUCCAGAUCAGAGGUAGUGGGGAUGACCAGGGAUGUUCUCUGUUUAGUGAGUCCUCCAGAUCAGAGGCAGUGGGGAUGACCAGGGAUGUUCUCUGUUUAGUGAGUCCUCCAGAUCAGAGGCAGUAGGGAUGACCAGGGAUGUUCUCUGUUUAGUGAGUCCUCCAGAUCAGAGGCAGUAGGGAUGACCAGGGAUGUUCUCUGUUUAGUGAGUCCUCCAGAUCAGAGGCAGUAGGGAUGACCAGGGAUGUUCUCUGUUUAGUGAGUCCUCCAGAUCAGAGGCAGUAGGGAUGACCAGGGAUGUUCUCUGUUUAGUGAGUCCUCCAGAUCAGAGGCAGUAGGGAUGACCAGGGAUGUUCUCUGUUUAGUGAGUCCUCCAGAUCAGAGGUAGUGGGGAUGACCAGGGAUGUUCUCUGUUUAGUGAGUCCUCCAGAUCAGAGGCAGUGGGGAUGACCAGGGAUGUUCUCUGUUUAGUGAGUCCUCCAGAUCAGAGGCAGUAGGGAUGACCAGGGAUGUUCUCUGUUUAGUGAGUCCUCCAGAUCAGAGGCAGUAGGGAUGACCAGGGAUGUUCUCUGUUUAGUGAGUCCUCCAGAUCAGAGGUAGUGGGGAUGACCAGGGAUGUUCUCUGUUUAGUGAGUCCUCCAGAUCAGAGACAGUAGGGAUGACCAGGGAUGUUCUCUGUUUAGUGAGUCCUCCAGAUCAGAGGCAGUAGGGAUGACCAGGGAUGUUCUCUGUUUAGUGAGUCCUCCAGAUCAGAGGUAGUAGGGAUGACCAGGGAUGUUCUCUGUUUAGUGAGUCCUCCAGAUCAGAGGCAGUAGAGAUGACCAGGGAUGUUCUCUGUUUAGUGAGUCCUCCAGAUCAGAGGCAGUAGAGAUGACCAGGGAUGUUCUCUGUUUAGUGAGUCCUCCAGAUCAGAGGCAGUAGAGAUGACCAGGGAUGUUCUCUGUUUAGUGAGUCCUCCAGAUCAGAGGCAGUAGAGAUGACCAGGGAUGUUCUCUGUUUAGUGAGUCCUCCAGAUCAGAGGCAGUAGGGAUGACCAGGGAUGUUCUCUGUUUAGUGAGUCCUCCAGAUCAGAGGCAGUAGGGAUGACC